rnacentral:rRNA from 1 species
GAUGAGCGCUGGCGGCGUGCCUAACACAUGCAAGUCGAGCGAGAAUUUUUUAGAUGAACCUUCGGGUGAUUCUAAAGAAGGACAGCGGCGGACGGGUGAGUAACGCGUGGGCAACCUGCCCUAUACAGAGGGAUAGCUUCGGGAAACCGGGAUUAAUACCUCAUAAAACUCUAGUAUCGCAUGAUACAUGAGUCAAAGAUUUAUCAGUAUAGGAUGGGCCCGCGUCUGAUUAGCUAGUUGGUAAGGUAAUGGCUUACCAAGGCGACGAUCAGUAGCCGACCUGAGAGGGUGAUCGGCCACAUUGGAACUGAGACACGGUCCAA